UACGAAGGGGGCUAGCGUUGUUCGGAAUUACUGGGCGUAAAGGGCGCGUAGGCGGCCAGCACAAGUCAGUUGUGAAAUCUCCGAGCUUAACUCGGAAAGGUCAACUGAUACUGUGCGGCUAGAGUGCGGAAGGGGCAACUGGAAUUCUUGGUGUAGCGGUGAAAUGCGUAGAUAUCAAGAGGAACACCUGCGGCGAAGGCGGGUUGCUGGGCUGAUACUGACGCUGAGGCGCGAAAGCCAGGGGAGCGAACGGG
rnacentral:rRNA from 1 species